AUUUCCCCUCCAGAAACCUGGAAAUUGAACCCAGCGGAGUCCAAGUUUCCAGGGAUGAGGAGCACAAAUUCUGCAAGUCAUUCUCUGAAGCUUCAGUUACAGAGGUACUUGGUGUCCCCUGGUCAAGUAGAGUUUCUACUAGGUGCCAAUAACUAUUUUUCAAGUGGAGACUACUCUUACACUGCUGAAGGCAUGUCUUUGCUUCAGAACCCAAAGGAAAAGAAUGCUUUCACUAGAUCAAAAUCCACAAGCUAGAUGUCAACAAAGGCACCAGAUCCUGGAUACCAUAUGAAAAAGAUGUGACUGAGGACGACUCGCCCCACCAUACUUUUUGCAAAACUCCUGAAGGAAAGACCUGCGUUUCUCUUGGGCCACAUCCGUUUCCUUCCAUUUGUUGUCUUUGAUUAAACUUUUGUUUAAAGGGUGUCUGUCCAAUGGCCACUUCAUUUCACUGAACUUCUUGAAAACAGUCCUCGUUCCGUGAUGUUUUUGAAUCAGCUUAAUUGUUGGUGGCCCUGUGGCCUUCCCCAAAGCUCUAUCCUCGCCUUGUGAGUAGCUGGUCUUUGUUAAGACCUUCGCUGGCCUCUCAGAGUUGAGCAGAAGGUUUUCCUUUUUUCCCUUUUGAUCCUCAGUGAUGUGGAACUUGAGGUUCUGUUAAAAUAGAGGAGAAAUGCUGAAAGCACAUUCACGAACUGCGAUGAAUCAGCCUACGUUCAUCUACUAUUCAUCUAACUACAUCUUCCUACAGCUCUUGCAAUGACUGCGGAAGGCAGGAUUUACAAGAUGGAAUCCUCUCCUAGGGAUAAAAAUUAGACUGCCAGGAUGACUUCAAAGCCCUGAAUCCAUCUUUAGUCUGAUCAAUUACCUGCAGUCCAUUAAGUUUUCACAGAUGAUCAGAAAUUUGACGUGAGCUUUGGAAGAUCAUGGGAUUAUUGGUUGACUGCAUGGAAAGUAUUUAGUACAGGCCUGAAAUAAAACUGCCAAUAUAUUUUUGCAGCUACUUUGUCUACUACUACAACUAUAAAUAAUAAUUGCCAUUAUUAAUAUUUUAUAGUGUAGUAAUAAUGUUUUAUACCAUUGACCUAGUGAGGGUCAAGAUUCCCCAGUUGUCCAUUAUUAUCCAGACUAUAAUUUGUGUGUCUCUACAUGUAUCCUAAUUAGUUCCCUCCCUGCCCCAUUGACAAGAACAAAAACAAAAUCAGCCUUCCACCAUGCCCUCUGGACCUUCUCUUUGUGGUCAUCAAAUUCCCCUUUAAUCUCUGGAGACUUCUGGAAUGAUUGUUUCCCAUGACUUUCUUUACAUGGAACCUGGCUGGCCCCCAAGAUUCUGCUGCCCUUGCACUUUCUCAAGUAGACAACACCUUAUUUCCUUGAACCACUUGUCCCUCCAGCCAGAAGACAGGGAGCUAUUUCUUUGUCAUUCACAGCUGCUUCUAGGACACGUCUCCUGGUAAGAGCUUCUGCUGCUGUGAAACACACAUGUCCUGCUGAGCCUCCCUUCUCCCUCUUCAUGCUGCCAUCCGCCUAGACCCCUGUUCUUUCUGCUUCAUGCACUGAAGACUUUAGCUCCUAGCUCAGACUCUGCUUCUCAUCCCCCAUUCCUGUCAUUUUGUGUGGUGACUCUGACACCCGUUAAACUCUCGGUUCCUUGACCACCUUGCCUUUAAUAGAGGUGUUCUUCACUUCUCAGUGAGUGUGUCAUCACCAGAGCCUGUGUCACUGCCAUCAUCUCUCUGACCACCAUUCUCUAACCUUCCAGCUCAUUGCUUCUUCCAUUUUUGCAGUUCUUUGACCUCUUCUAUGGUUUUUGAGCUCCUAGUAGCCAGCAUGCCUCGUUCUUCUAUUUGCUCUCAGAAAGUCACUUCUGCAGGGAGGCUUUCCCUGUCCACUUUGUCUAAAUUAUGUUCCCUUCUGAAAUUCUCUCCCUUGUAAGGUUCCCAAAUAAGAACUCUGCCCACUUUUCUCAUUGCAUUUAUUGCAAUGUGAAAUGAUUUUAUUUACUUACUUCUAUGUUAUCUCACCCCACCCCCAUCUCUAUUGCACUAAAACAUGACCACAGAGGUCUGUCUUUUUUGUUCCCUGUUGUAUCUCUUGUACCUAACAUGUUGCCUGGCACAUAGGAAACAAUAAAUAAUUGUUGAUUGAGUAAACGCAAUUUUUAAAAAACCACAGGUGGAUUCUUUAUUUCAACACACAGUACCAAAUGAAUCUGUAUAUCCAUUAACAGGAUUUACUUACACAAUCGUAUUACACUUCACCAGUCUUUAUGCCAUAUUUAAUUAAAUAAAAAAAUAAGCUCGCAA